rnacentral:tRNA from 1 species
AAAAAAGUAAGUUAAUAAAACUACAGGAUUCAUAUUCCUACAUUGACUUUUGUCCUUUUUUA